rnacentral:rRNA from 1 species
CCUACGGGAGGCAGCAGUGAGGAAUAUUGGUCAAUGGGCGGAAGCCUGAACCAGCCAAGUAGCGUGCAGGAUGACGGCCCUACGGGUUGUAAACUGCUUUUAUACGGGAAUAACGCGCCUUACGUGUAGGGCUUUGCAUUUACCGUAUGAAUAAGGACCGGCUAAUUCCGUGCCAGCAGCCGCGGUAAUACGGAAGGUCCGGGCGUUAUCCGGAUUUAUUGGGUUUAAAGGGAGCGUAGGCCGCAUGUCAAGCGUGCUGUGAAAUUUCCGGGCUCAACCCGGGCCUUGCAGCGCGAACUGGCUUGCGUGAGGUCGCUGAAAGCAGGCGGAAUUCGUCGUGGAGCGGUGAAAUG